rnacentral:lncRNA from 1 species
GGGAGACUGAUGAAGAGACGACUAUCCCCAGACCGUAUUGUAACUACUAUGGCGCUGUGUAAGAAGCAACCUGAGAAGUGUGGAUGAAAAGCUACAGGUUCAGAAAUCAGGGUGGGAAGUGAAAUCCUAUUACUGAGACUCCAACAGCGUCCUGGGGAGCACCUCAAAGGGUCUUCCAGAGUUGUUGAAAUUGAGGUUCAGCCAGAGGCCUGUGUACCUGCCAAUCUGGAGAGACAAGUCUUGUAUGUCCGGACAAAGGAAACACGUAUGGUUUCUGAUACAAUCCCCACACCAAGAAUUACAAGGGCAGACACACUGAAUGCCAGGUGUUAAUUUGUAGUUGAGCCACUUCUCACCUGUGCAGAUCUAGCUAGCAUGCUCCAGGAGGAGGGUCACCGCUCGGGAGAGUAUGUCUCUAUCCCAGUCAUGCAGGGAUGCCAGCUAGGUUCUCAAAAUACCACUGAUUG